AUUGAACGCUGGCGGCAUGCCUUACACAUGCAAGUCGAACGGCAGCACGGGAGCAAUCCUGGUGGCGAGUGGCGAACGGGUGAGUAAUAUAUCGGAACGUGCCCAGUCGUGGGGAUAACGUAGCGAAAGCUACGCUAAUACCGCAUACGAUCUAUGGAUGAAAGCGGGGGGAUCGCAAGACCUCGCGCGAUUGGAGCGGCCGAUAUCAGAUUAGGUAGUUGGUGAGGUAAAGGCUCACCAAGCCGACGAUCUGUAGCUGGUCUGAGAGGACGACCAGCCACACUGGGACUGAGACACGGCCCAGACUCCUACGGGAGGCAGCAGUGGGGAAUUUUGGACAAUGGGCGCAAGCCUGAUCCAGCAAUGCCGCGUGCAGGAUGAAGGCC
rnacentral:rRNA from 1 species